rnacentral:rRNA from 1 species
UACGAAGGGUGCAAGCGUUACUCGGAAUUACUGGGCGUAAAGCGUGCGUAGGUGGUUCGUUAAGUCUGAUGUGAAAGCCCUGGGCUCAACCUGGGAAUUGCAUUGGAUACUGGCGGGCUAGAGUACGGUAGAGGGUAGUGGAAUUCCUGGUGUAGCAGUGAAAUGCGUAGAUAUGCGGAGGAACACCGAUGGCGAAGGCAAUCCCCUGGGCCUGCACUGACGCUCAUGCACGAAAGCGUGGGGAGCAAACAGG